AUUCCAGCUCCAAUAGCGUAUAUUAAAGUUGUUGCAGUUAAAAAGCUCGUAGUUGGAUUUCUGGUAGAAGUAGCGACCUUGGGUCUUUGACCUAUGAAGUUGCUAUCUUCAACCAUCCUUGAAGAGAUUUAGUUUGGCAUUAAGUUGUCGAACUAAAGAUAUUCAUCUUUUACUGUGAAAAAAUCAGAACGUUCAAAGUAAGCAUUUAGCUUUGAAUGUAUUAGCAUGGAAUAAUGAAAUAGGACUUAGGUACUACUUUGUUGGUUUAUGCACCUAGGUAAUGAUUAAUAGGGAUAGUUGAGGGUAUUCGUAUUCCAAUGUUAGAGGUGAAAUUCUUGGAUUUUUGGAAGACGAACAACUGCGAAAGCAUUUACCAAGGAUGUUUUCAUCA
rnacentral:rRNA from 1 species